rfam:Heligmosomoides polygyrus genome assembly, scaffold: HPBE_scaffold0001827
GCCAAAAAAGUGUAAGGCGAACAUCGCUGCCCGGAAAGCAGAAGAUGCGGGUUCGAGUCCCGCCUGGCG